rnacentral:rRNA from 1 species
AACGAACGCUGGCGGCAUGCCUAACACAUGCAAGUCGAACGAUUGCCUUCGGGUGAUAGUGGCGCACGGGUGCGUAACGCGUGGGAAUCUGCCCUUAGGUUCGGAAUAACAGCUGGAAACGGCUGCUAAUGCCGGAUGAUAUCGCGAGAUCAAAGAUUUAUCGCCUGAGGAUGAGCCCGCGUUGGAUUAGGUGGUUGGUGGGGUAAAGGCCUACCAAGCCGACGAUCCAUAGCUGGUCUGAGAGGAUGAUCAGCCACACUGGGACUGAGACACGGCCCAGACUCCUACGGGAGGCAGCAGAGGGGAAUAUUGGACAAUGGGCGCAAGCCUGAUCCAGCAAUGCCGCGUGAGUGAUGAAGGCCCUAGGGUUGUAAAGCUCUUUUACCCGGGAAGAUAAUGACUGUACCGGGAGAAUAAGCCCCGGCUAACUCCGUG